GACGAACGCUGGCGGCGUGCUUAACACAUGCAAGUCGAACGGAAAGGCCCCUUUGGGGGUACUCGAGUGGCGAAUGGGUGAGUAACACGUGAGUAACCUGCCCUUGACUUCGGGAUAACUUCAGGAAACUGGGGCUAAUACCGGAUAGGAAUCCUUGCUGCAUGGUGGGGGUUGGAAAGCUUCGGCGGUUUUGGAUGGACUCGCGGCUUAUCAGCUUGUUGGUGGGGUAGUGGCUUACCAAGGCUUUGACGGGUAGCCGGCCUGAGAGGGCGACCGGCCACAUUGGGACUGAGAUACGGCCCAGACUCCUACGGGAGGCAGCAGUGGGGAAUAUUGCACAAUGGGCGGAAGCCUGAUGCAGCAACGCCGCGUGCGGGAUGACGGCCUUCGGGUUGUUAAACCGCUUUCAGCAGGGGCGAAGCUUGUGGUGACGGUACCUGCAGAAGAAGCACCGGCUAACUACGUG
rnacentral:rRNA from 1 species